rnacentral:rRNA from 1 species
GUAGGGAAUAUUGGACAAUGGGGGGAACCCUGAUCCAGCCAUGCCGCGUGGAGGAAGACUGCCCUCUGGGUUGUAAACUCCUUUUAUAUGGGAAGAACCGUCCUCAUUAAUGAGUGACCUGACGGUACCAUAGGAAUAAGCACCGGCUAACUCCGUGCCAGCAGCCGCGGUAAUACGGAGGGUGCAAGCGUUAUCCGGAUUCACUGGGUUUAAAGGGUGCGUAGGCGGAUAAAUAAGUCAGUGGUGAAAUCAACGGGCUCAACCUGUUAACUGCCAUUGAUACUGUGUAUCUUUAAUAUGAGAGAGGUAGGCGGAAUGUUGCAUGUAGCGGUGAAAUGCUUAGAUAUGCUACGGAACACCGAUUGCGAAGGCAGCUUACUAUUUCGUAAUUGACGCUGAGGCACGAAAGCGUGGGUAGCGAACAGGAUUAGAAACCCUAGUAGUCC